rnacentral:rRNA from 1 species
AUUGAACGCUAGCGGGAUGCCUUACACAUGCAAGUCGAACGGAGCGGCGGACGGGUGAGUAAUGUAUAGGAACGUGCCUGGUAGUGGGGGAUAACUUCCCGAAACGGGCGCUAAUACCGCAUACUAUUAGAUGGGCCGAGAUCGGAUUAGCUAGUUGGUGGGGUAACGGCUCACCAAGGCGACGAUCCGUAACUGGUUUGAGAGGAUGACCAGUCACACUGGAACGGAGACACGGCCCAGACUCCGACGGGAGGCAGCAGUGGGGAAUUUUGGACAAUGGGGGAAAGCCUGAUCCAGCCAUGCCGCGUGUGUGAUGAAGGUCUUCGGAUUGUAAAGCACUUUUGGCAGGGAAGCGUUACCUGCAGAAUAAGCACCGGCUAACUACGUGCCAGCCGCCGCGGUAAUUC